UACGAAGGGGGGCUAGCGUUGCUCGGAAUCACUGGGCGUAAAGCGCACGUAGCGGGUUGCCAAGUCGGGGGUGAAAGUCCUGGAGCUCAACUCCAGAACUGCCUUUAAUACUGCCAGUCUCGAGUCCGGAAGAGGUAAGUGGAACUCCUAGUGUAGAGGUGGAAUUCGUAGAUAUUAGGAAGAACACCAGUGGCGAAGGCGGCUUACUGGUCCGGUACUGACGCUGAGGUGCGAAAGCGUGGGGAGCAAACAGG
rnacentral:rRNA from 1 species